GAUGAACGCUGGCGGCGUGCUUAACACAUGCAAGUCGAACGGACAGGCCCGGCUUUUGUGCGGUGGUCGAGUGGCGAAGGGGGGAGUAACACGUGAGUAACCGGCACCUAACUGAGGGGUAACUUCAUGAAACAGGGGCUAAUACCGAAUAGGAGAUUUUGCUGCAGGGGGGGGGUCGGAAAGUUAGGGCGGUGGUGGAUGGAAUCGCGGCUUAUGCGCUUGUUAGUGGGGUAGUGGCUUACAAGGCCUGAGACGGGUAGCCUGCCUGAGAGGGCAACCGGCCACACUGUGACUGAGAUACGCCGCAGACUCCUACGGGAGGCAGCAGUGGGGAGUAUUGCACAAUAGGGGCGAGCGUGUUACGGAGCCGCCCCGUGCGGGAUAACGGGCUUCGGGGGGUGAACAGCUUUCUCCUGAGACGAAGAGUGAGUGACGGUAACUAAUAAAGAAGCACCGGCUAACUACGUG
rnacentral:rRNA from 1 species